rnacentral:snRNA from 1 species
GAAUGUGAAAGUGAUCUGGCUGUGACAUUUGUCACCCCAUUGAUCACCAUGGUUGGUUUAGCUGGUCUUCCUGGCUAGGUAGGUGCCCCUUCCUCUCUCACUACUCCAUGUGCAUCUCUCUGGAAGCUGCAAGCUCAGUUGAAGAAAACCAUCUCUGACGAGAGGAGGACUAGUCUUUGGUCAAGGGUAUAUAAGUAGCUGUGUUCCCCUGCUAUAACCUCCAAACAAACUCUCGCGGGGGAGGGGAUAUUUAUAAACACUUGCAGGGUGCUUCCAUCCUGCUUGAUACAUCAAUCUCCUUAUUGGCCAUUGUGUAUCCAU